CAGCCGUAAACGAUGCGCGUUAGGUGUAUCGACGACCACGAGUCGUCGAGGUGCCGAAGGGAAACCGUGAAACGUGCCGCCUGGGAAGUACGGCCGCAAGGCUGAAACUUAAAGGAAUUGGCGGGGGAGCACAACAACGGGUGGAGCCUGCGGUUUAAUUGGACUCAACGCCGGACAACUCACCGGGAACGACAGCAAUAUGUAGGCCAGGCUGAAGACCUUGCCUGAAUCGCUGAGAGGAGGUGCAUGGCGUAGACGUCU
rnacentral:rRNA from 1 species